UAAAGUUAAAUUGAACUUCGACGGACAAAUGAACAUGGCUAAAAAGGACUUGGCGGUUACAAUUGACUUGACAUAUGAGGGUGAUUGGAGGGAUUUGAUUUCCCCUGAUUUCAAGCGAGAGGAUAGCUUUGCUAUAGUCUUUCAAGCUUCUUUUCAUACACAGCUUUCGAUCACCGAAGACAAAGAUGGGUUUUUAUGUGUGGCUCAAGACAUUCCAUAGUCAUUAAAAGGGAUAUUAAAUGAUGGUACCACUACAAAAAAAUGAUGUGUGUGAUAGAGACAUGGUGAUGCCAGCUGCCUCCCCGACAUUGCAAUUUGCAAUUACAUGAUUCGUGGUAAAAUCCAUCCUAUUGUUGGAGUGGAGCAGCAAUCCAGCUCUUCUGUUAGUUGGUGUUUCUUUUCCCCCUUCAAAUGACAAAAGAGCUGGAUUGCUGCUCCACUCCAACA
rnacentral:misc_RNA from 1 species